UACAGAGGCUGCAAGCGUUAAUCGGAAUUACUGGGCGUAAAGCGCGCGUAGGUGGUUGGUUAAGUUGGGUGUGAAAGCCCCCGCCUCAACCUGGGAACUGCAUCCAAAACUGGCCGACUAGAGUACAGUAGAGGGUUGUGGAAUUUCAUGUGUAGCGGUGAAAUGCGUAGAUAUAGGAAGGAACACCAGUGGCGAAGGCGACCACCUGGACUGAUACUGACACUGAGGUGCGAAAGCGUGGGGAGCAAACAGG
rnacentral:misc_RNA from 1 species